rnacentral:pre_miRNA from 1 species
AGUGGGAUAGCUGGGUCAAAUGGUGGUUCCAUUCUAAGUUUUCCAAGGAAUCUCCAUACUGAUUUCCAAAGUGGUUACACCAUUUUGCAACAUCACCAGCAAU